AGAGUUUGAUCCUGGCUCAGAACGAACGCUGGCGGCAGGCCUAACACAUGCAAGUCGAACGCCCUAGCAAUAGGGAGUGGCAGACGGGUGAGUAACGCGUGGGAACGUACCCUUCGGUCUGGAAUAACCCAGGGAAACUUGGGCUAAUACCGGAUACGUGCGAGAGCAGAAAGAUUUAUCGCCGAAGGAUCGGCCCGCGUCCGAUUAGCUAGUUGGUGAGGUAAAAGCUCACCAAGGCGACGAUCGGUAGCUGGUCUGAGAGGAUGAUCAACCACACUGGGACUGAGACACGGCCCAGACUCCUACGGGAGGCAGCAGUGGGGAAUAUUGGACAAUGGGCGAAAGCCUGAUCCAGCCAUGCCGCGUGAGUGAUGAAGGCCCUAGGGUUGUAAAGCUCUUUCGCCAGGGACGAUAAUGACGGUACC
rnacentral:rRNA from 1 species